UUAAAUUUAAAUUCUUAAUUCAAAUAAUCCAAAAUGGAUUCAUAAUUAUGAAAUGAAAAUAACAUCAAAUAUAUAGAUAGAUAUCAAUCGUCACAUGCAUACAAUAGAUGCCAAGACAUCACCAGCCAUCAAAUGUUUGACAAAAAAUAGGCACGCUGGCCAGAGUUUGCUACAUCUAACUGAGUAAACAUCUUAAUUAGCACGUAUAUAUUGAUGUAGGUCAACUAGAGUUUUCUACAUCACAAAACAUGUUAACUAUACAUGCACCAAAAUGUUACACCAAAACAUGUACCACCAUGUUAACAUCAAGAACCCAACUGGUUGCUCAAUAGUGACUGGCUGAAAAAUAAUCCCCCAAACAUCCCUUCAUCGUCUGCAACACGAAGACUUGAGGCAACACAAUGUUCCUGCCUUCCUGGAAAGUAAGAUUUGCAAAUUUUCAAAGGCUAGAACAUGACAAUAAGAAGGAAAAAAUAGAAAGCAUAAGGAAAGGAUCAAGGUGCCAUAGAGUCACUAAUUUGUGAUGCAUUAGUUUGAAUCGCCUGAAACUAUUCUAGGGUAUGUUCAUAAAGAACUUUUUGAAACUAUUCCAGGAAAUAAAAAGGCUAAAGUUAAGUACUUCUCACACCUCUAGUAACCCAGAAUCUAACUUAAGUUGUGAGCUAUUACUUUUACUCUACACAUAAUCACAAAAGAAGUGAUUAUCUUUGUUUCGAAAUAAAGUAUGAACUACACUCAACUCUGUUGCAAUGCAAAUUAGUGUGUUACAUCAAAUCACCAAAGUUCUAAACAGAAUUUCCUAUUUCCAAUAAUGAGAACCCAGAAAUGCAAAAAUUGGUAUAAAUUUGCGCAGCAUAACAACUGUAAAUUGGACAACUGGACAUACGAAAAGAUAUUAUGAUCCCUCCCACAUCUCACACAACCCCAUUAAUCAAAUGAUCCAGCACCACACAGGUUAGCAUCAUACAUCAAAGAAGCAUGCAUAUUGUCACAAGUAUGUGAACAUCAAAACGAACAGACCAUCACUAGUUGUAUCAUUUGAGAUUAGUUUGAGAAAUAGAUACGUGAAGAGAGCUAGGAUUUAUUUCUUGUUGAGCACACAAAGCUGGUGGUUCUUCGCUAUUUUCUAGAAUCUACAAAAGAAGAGUCGGGUUUUAGAAGGAAUCCUUAUCAUGCUUCAAAUGUAUUUAUGUUUGUGUGUUUGCUUGAGAUGGAUGAUUACAUACUUGGAUAAUAGAUCGUUGUGGAGAUCCACGAGGAGAAAGUGAAUGAGAAGGUGGAACCGGCGGCGGUGGUAUUUCUGCAAUAGGCACUCUUUGGUUAGUUGCCAAAGUCUGCAAUACAAGAAAAUUCACAUGGUGGUUACUUUCAAAUCUAGCAAAUUGUAAAUGCAACAAACAAGUAUUAGAAAAAGGAAAAAUAUUGCAGAACAAGAAACUACUUAUACAAAUUAAUAAGAUAUACGUCUUCCCAGCAGGUCGGUCUUCAUUAUUUGGAAUAGCAGCGGGUAGAUCUGAAACUCUUACGUAUCCAUCAUAGUGUUCCGAGUAGCAGGCACAGGUUUGAUGGCUAGAGAAAGUCGAUAUGCUUUUCUUCCAAUUGUCAUCCUGUAAUGUGUGAUUCUUUAGACAAAUAAGAUAAAGAUAGAAAAGAAGAAUUUAUAAUCAACAAGACAAUCAUGGUAAACAUAAUAAUAGCAAAUAGAUAAGUGUUUGUUGCCAAGUCUUCAACCACCUGGAUAAUUGAUUUAUAACACACACACACACACAAGAUGGAUCAGUGAAGCUACUAUUUUUGUCAUUCAUGUACUUGCAUAGCUGUGAACAAAUUUAACAGAUAGACUACAUGAAAUAUUUCCUAUUCAUUAUGUUUAGUGGCUACAUUCUGACCACAAUUUACAUGGUUUAAUGGCUCAUUCAUGUGUUCGGGUGUGUUUGGUUUUGAGCCAAAGCAUAUUUGGCGUGCCCAUGAGUUUUGGCUGCUAUUUGGUUGGACACCAAAUAUUUGGCUUGCCCAACCCAGCCGGCGUUUGCCCAUGCAUUUCUCACCAAUACACGGGCAAGCCGAGGGCAACCAAUUCAUCCGCCAAAAUAUUGGCUGCCCACCUGCUAGCUUCACUGUAAUAUGCUUGGGUGUCAUGUUAACCGGAAAAUUAAGUAGCUAGCUCGUAUACUUACGCAUCCAUGGGUCGUAUUUUCUCUUUUCACAAAAGAAGGUACCAUAUUUUCUCGAUAUGAACAAGGGGUGGAAAGAGUCAGAAAUGAAUGUAUGUUCACAUAGGUUGCAUGCAAUAUAAGCCAUGAACAAUAAAAAAAUAUGUUUAUAGGAGAGGAGAGAUCAAUAUCUCAACCUUGAGUUACAACCAGCAAAAGGACAAAAAAAGAACAUUAUCACCUAGAGCUUCCGCUCUUAUAUUUGCACACUUGUGUGUUUGCACAUAGGCCAGUAAAGCACAUAAGUGAUAACCUAAACCUAAUCAAAGUCGAACAGUUUGCAAACAGAAAUUAUACUCUAGUGUAAGUGUUUUCCAUUUUUCAUGGGCAUCACAUCAAAAUACCCGCAGUUUGCAGCCACCGAUGGAAAUAAUUAAGACCUAUGAGUUUACGAAGAAGAGAGCGAUUUAAUUAGAUAUAUAACCAAGCAAAGGAGAUGGAGGUACUGCAAGUUCCACAUAAGACUGCUGGAUCUAGCUACGUGAAUGGCAUUGUGGAUCUCUGGUAAGCACCACAAAACUUAAAUAUGUCCAUGCUUACACAAACAUGCUUGCUAAAAGUAUCAGAAAGAUGUAAGAAUACAAUUACCUAAUUUAUUUUUUUGCUUUUUCACCGUGAUUAUAUGAUGCCUGCGACAUACGAAUCAGUUUCUGCAUUCUCGUGUUAUUGAGUCAAAGUUCAAGACGAUAUCCCAUACAAAGACAGUCACAACGAGCCAUCAGACCACACACUAAUCUUGAUUCCGAAUCACUACUUAGAGUUGUGGAAUCGCUCAAAUAGAUGUUCUCAUAAGGGCUCUUUAAGAACCUGCAGAAGAAAGGUAGUUUAUUAUUUACUUUUACCAUCUUUUUUUGAACAUGUAUCUCCUUUCUAAGAGAAAGUACAUUAUAAUCCCACACUUGCUGCGACGCCAUGGAGUGGAAUAGGUCCACAGAGCACCCACAAACACAAUGUCGUGCAGCAUCCCCCAUCUCAUCGGUCCGCCACAGAUCCAGGUUCUGUCUUCGCUCUGGAAUUUUAUUUCACAACUUUGUUUUUCAUGGCGGCUGAGUGCUCCUGGCAUAGGAGAGGAAAACGGCGGCUGUGGUCGAAGGAUAGAGGAAAGACAAAGACAUAGGGACCAGCGGAGGUGUGGACUGGACCAUGUAAACAGGCCCAGUGUACUAGCCCGAUCAACCACCACAAAUAUAGAUGGUUCUGCGGAGCAGCGGCCCACGAAACGGCUUGCGAUCUAUGCAAUCUGACGGCCAGCAACGAUGAAGCAUUGUGGAGGCUCGUAGGUCACUUUGUUAUACGGUUUCUUAAUUCAUGUUAAGACCCCAGAUGCUCAUUCACUAAAAAAAAGAAAAAGGACCUAUGCUGAUAUGUGGCAUGUUAACUGGUUACAAACCAAACCUAGAACCAACCAUUUUGCCAAAAAAACUGGUAGGUGCUACGUUAAUCCAAACAACACUACCACAUCAAAAUUUUGGCAGGGCAAGUUGGGGCACAAACCAAACAACCCCUUCACGCAUCUUCAUAUCAAUUGGUUCUUAUAUUUCCUUUUAAAGCUAUUUAUUUUAUUCCUUUUAACCUUCCAUACACCUUUUAUAACCAAGAUAUUUAAACUGACAAUCCCAACUACUGGAGAAGAUACUGAACAACGUCUAGGUGUACUGAAUAGUACACCACCUGCCACUUGCUUUGGAUGCUAUAUAAGACAAAAUCAACAUUUCAGAAUUUUGCAAGAUAUACAGUUACAACUAUCCAAACCAGCAAUCAAAAAACUAUCUAAAACAGAGAGUGAGAGAGAUAGAGAGAGAACCUUAUGGAUGGUAGCAGUGGCGUACAACAGCACGCAGAUCCGGUCAUCAUUCAAUCAGCGGGGGCGGCACCGUCUACCACGGUCAAGGGCGGCAGCACGAGUUGAGGGCGUCGCAGAUGGAGUCGCCGCCAGUGGCACGACGCCGUCACCCAGCCGGCAUGGCCAGGGCCACCACGCCCUUCGCGACCAUAGUGUGACUAGGUCACCAAUGCGGUAGAGACGAGGAAAUAGAAGUGGAGCGGCGGAACGGGGUGGGCAGGGGAGCGGCCGAGCGGGGCUGGCCUGGGAGCGGCGCAGUGGGGCGGGCCGCAGAGCGGCGGAGCUGGGCGAUCCAGGGCGAGGCGCGGAAGGUCGGGAGAUGAGAUCUGAGAGAGGGGAAAGUUUUGGUCUGGUGGCGGCACCGCUUGGGACAGGGGCGAGGCGUGAAGGAUACACAUACGAUUUUUUUCCUCUACGCGCCCUUUCUCCCAUCCUUUUCUCACUGGACUAUGGCCCCAACCUUUGCGAAAUGAAAAAAAAUGGCGCGAGUGUAGCGCGGGAGGUCAAUCUACCUGGGCACACCGGGGCAUCUCUUCAUGUUUUUUGGGCUUUGAUGUUUGUACGUGGCACCACCCUAGGGAAAGCUUAAGCUCCAAUUUUUUUUCCUACAUAUUCAUCUUUCCCUAGAGGGCACUGUUCAUAGCUUGUCUAUCCCUUGAGUUGGCUGAUGAGCUCUAGGUAAAGACCUUGGCUCUAGGUAAAACAUAGCUUUCUAGUAGUGACUCUCCCGGCCACUCCGACCAACACCCCCUCCGGGUUCAUUCCUGGGUGGCCCCGUGCCUACCAAAGGCACCAACGGCCACCGUCAUGGAAAAAACAUAAACGGUCCCAAACGGGGACAAAAGGCGCCUAACAACAAUUACGCGCACACAAGGCUUAUGUCCGCCUACCUGAUCAGGGUAGCGCGCGCCCAUAACCUUCCCUCAUUGGAGGCACCGGCGAGAGGCACGACAAUAGACCCAGUUAGGAACCUCCCAUAAAGGUAAGUGUGGUUGCACUGGUCAGCUCGAUAUGGUGGCACCAUGACUCAGCAAAUAGUUGUUCAAGUUGAAUUAAGUCCGGUUAAACUUGAAUGCAAUAAGCUAAGCCAUAUUAAAUAUAACAUGAUGCAACUACAAUGCAUGAACAUGAAUCAACAUAAGCAUGGAAGUGCAACAUAAUCAUCGAGCAUAACCAUAAUGAAACAUUAACCAAAUCAGCAUGGUAAACUGACGAGCAUAACAUUACACAUGAGAAUAUCAUGACCACUAGCAUCAUAAAUAACAUGCAAGAACUUAUCCAGAAUACGACCAAGUAAGCAUAUAACCAACUGGAAGCAAAGUAACAUGCGUAGCUACAGCACCAUAUAACAGAUCGUAAACAUGCAUCAGAAAACAACACACUGCUACUACUAUCAAGCAUGAGAUAUAACCAUAAUACCAGUAAUAAGUGCAAGAUAACAAGCUGCCGAAGAGCAUAGCAUGAAAAGGAACAUAGAUGUAUAAGCAUCACCGAACAAUGAUAACCGUAUGAAAACAAGCAAACAUUUAUUAAAUAUUCAAGUUGAAAACCAUGGCUACUGCAUGACUAUCAUGCAAGUGGUUGUUGUGGCUUGCCUGAGGGUGACGGAGAUACCGGGAAGAAGUGUGGUGAAGCCGCGGAACAAAACGCCGGACGGUUCUCUCUCGGAGGGGGCUGAUUAGAUGCAAGGGCAUAAUGGUCAUUUUCACAGUGUGAACACUUUAUGAAAAUGGUACCAACAUAAAGAGCUUGAUGAUACGAAGAAGUGAGCGCUGGUUUCACCUCGAUCGGCAUUACGGUCGUCGAGAUACGAAGGGAUGAAGAUCAGGGACUUUUCCGCAAAACGAAUAUUCACAAACGGGUCCCUGAGUGCAUAAGACAGAAGCGUAAUGAGGAAAACACGUUUUCAGAAAAGUUCAAACGCACUUUAGGCUGGAGUAGACAGGAAUACGCUCCAAAGGGGAAAAGGUAUUCUAUAUAAAAGAAAGGAAGAAUACGCUUUCGUGAACUGAACACGCGAUAACCGGAAUACGUAUCCACUUGACACGUUAGCAGGGGCGCCUGGGCCACUGACCGGCCGGGCCCAGGGGACGGGGGGCACGGGCGCUCGUCGUCUUCUUCCUCGCCCUGUCCCCGCACGGGACUGAGGAGAAGCAGGGGAGGGGCGCCACCGGCCGACGGCCUGGCCGGCUCAGGCGGCCUCUGGCC
rnacentral:lncRNA from 1 species